rnacentral:rRNA from 1 species
UACAGAGGUCUCAAGCGUUGUUCGGAUUCAUUGGGCGUAAAGAGCUCGUAGGCGGUUCGGCAAGUCGGAUGUGAAAUCUCCACGCUCGACGUGGAGGGGCCAUUCGAAACUGCCGUGACUCGAGUCCGGUAGGGGAGUGUGGAAUUCCCGGUGUAGCGGUGAAAUGCGCAGAUAUCGGGAGGAACACCAGUAGCGAAAGCGGCUCUCUGGGACGGUACUGACGCUGAGACGCGAAAGCGUGGGGAGCGAACAGG